rnacentral:lncRNA from 1 species
GAAUAAUAAAAGAAAAGUCCUUAGCGAGGAAUGACAGGGUUUAGGGUUUAGGGCUUUGUUUAGGGUUCAGGGUUCAGGGUUGUUUAGGGUUUAGGGUUUAGGGUUUAGGGUUUAGGGGUUUAGGGUGUAGGGUUUAGGGUUUUAGGGUUUAGGGUUUAGGGUUUAGGGUUUUAGGGUUUAGGUCUAGGGAUUAGGGUUAGGUCUAGGGUCUAGGGUUAGGGGUUAGGGUAGGUUAGGGUUAGGGGUAGGGGUUAGGGUUCAGGGUUAGGGUUCAGGGUCAGGGUUCAGGGUUCAGGGGUUUAGGGUUUAGGGGUUUUAGGGUUUUAGGGGUUUAGGAUGUUUGGGUUUAGGGUUUUAGGUUAGAGGUUUAGGUUUUAGGGUUUAGGGUUUGGGUUUAGGGUUAAGGGUUUAGGGUUAGCGGUUUAAAGGGGUUUAGGGUUAAGGGUUAAGGGUUAGGGUUAAGGGUUUAGGGUUUUAGGGGUUGUUAGGGUUUUAGGGUUAUAGGAGUUAUAGGGUUAUAGGGUAUAGGGUUAGGUUUAGGGUUAGGGUUUAGGGUUUAGGUUUUAGGGUUUAGGAGUUUAGGGUUUAGGGUUGUAGGUUAGGGUUAGGGUUUAGAGGUUUAGGGUUUAGGGUUUUAGGGUUUAGGUUUAGGGUUUAGGUUUAGGUUAGGUUGUUAGGUUUAGGGUUUAGAGAUGUUUAGGUUUGGUUAUAGGGUUUAGGGUUUAGGGUUUGGUUUAGGGUUUAGGGUUUAGGUUUAGGUUUAGGGUUAGGGUUUAGGAGGUUUAGGGUUAGAGUUUAGGGUUUAGGGGUUUAGGGUUUUAGGGUUUAGGUUUUAGGUUGUUAGGGUUUUAGGGUUUAGGUUUAGGGUUUAGGGUUUGGGUUUAGGGUUUAUGUACGGUUUUAGGGUUUUAGAGGUUUUAGAGGUUUUUAGGGUUUGGUUGGGUUUGGUUAGGUUUAGGGAGUUUAGGGUUUAGGGUUUAGGGUUUAGGUUUAGGGUUUAGGGUUUAGGGUUUAGGUUUGUUUAGUUGGUUUAGGUUUAGGGUUUAGGGUUUAGGUUAGGGGUUUUAAGGUGUUUAGGGUUUAGGGUUUAGGGUUUUAAGGGUUUAGGCGUUUAGGUUUAGGGUUUAGGGUUUAGGGUUUAGGGUUUAGGGUUUUAGGCGUUGUUAGGGUUUUAGGGUUUAGGUUUAGGAUUUAGGGUUUGGUUUAGGGUUUAGGGUUUAGGUUUAGCGUUUAGGGUUUAAGGGUUUAGUUAGGUUUGGGUUUAGGGUUUAGGUUUAGGGUUAUGGGUUUAGGGUUUAGGGUUUAGGUUUAGGGUUAGGGUUUGGUUAGGGUUUAGGGUUUAAAGGGUUUAGGUAGGGUUUAGGUUUAGGGUUAGGUGUUAGGUUUUAGGGUUUAGGGUUUGGGUUAGGGUUGGGUUUGAGGUUUAGGCGUUUAGGGUUUAGGUUUAGGUUUAGGUUUAGGGUUAGGGUUUAGGGUUUAGGGUUUGAGGUUUAGGGUUUAGUGGUUUUAGGUUUAGGGUUUAGGGUUUUAGGAGUUUUAAGGUCUUAGGGUUUUUAGGGUUUAGGUUUAGGGUGGUGGUUUAUAGGUUUUAGGGUUAGGGUUUAGGGUUUAGGAGUUUAGGUUUGAGGUUUAGGGUUUAGGGUUUAGGAUAGGGUUUAGGGUUUAGGUUUAGGUUUUAGGGUUUAGGUUAGUUUACGGGUUUAGGUUUAGGUUUAGGGUUAGAGGUAGGGUUUAGGGUUAGGGUUUAGGGUUAGGGUUUAGGGUUAGGGUUUAGGGUUCAGGGUUCAGGGUUCAGGGGUUCAGGGUUCAGGGGUUUCAGGGUUCAGGGUUCAGGUUAGGGUUCAGGGUUACAGGGUUCAGGUAUUAGGGUUUCAGGUUCAGAGGUUCAGGGUUCCCAGCGGAUUCUAGGGUUCAGGGUUCCGGGUUAGGUUCAGGGUUCAGGUUCGCGGUCAGGGAUUGGUUCAGGAGUUCAGGAGUUGGGAUUCAGGGUUCAGGGUUCAGGGUUCAGGGUUACGGGUUCAGAGGUUCAGGGUUUAAGGUUCGGUUCAGGGUUCAGUGGGAUCAGGGUUCAGGUAGUUCAGAGGUUCAGGGUUCAUGGGGUUCAGGGUUCAGGAGCUUCAGGGUUUCAGAAGUUAGGGUUCAGGGUUCAGGGUUAAGGGUUCAGGGUUAAGGGUCAGGGUUCAAGGUUCAGGGCUCUAGGCGUUAGGUGAUUAGGUUCAGGUUCAGUGUUCAGGGUUUAGGGAUUCAGGGUAUAUUCAGCGAGUACAGGUUAGGCGUUCAGGGUCAGGGUUAGGUGUUCAGUGGUUCUAGGGCUUUCAGAGGUUCAGGGAUUCAGGGUUCGUUCAGUGGUUCAGGGGUUCAGGUUCAGGUUCAGGGUUAGGUUGGGUUCAAGGUGUUCUAGGGUUCAGGGUUCAGUUAGGUUCGGGUUAGGGUUUAGAGGUUUAGGGUUUAGGGUUCUUAGGUUGUUUAGGGAUUUAGGGUUAGGGGUUUAGGAGGUUUAGGUGUUAGGGUUUAGGGUUUAGGGUUUAGGGUUUAGUGGGUUGGUUUAGGGUUUAGGUUUAGGUAUUAGGGUUUAGGGUUUAGAGUUUUAGGGUUUAGGGUUUAGGGUUUAGGCGUUUUAUGAGGUUUAAGGGUUUAGGGUUUAGGGUUUAGGGUUAGGGUUAUGUUAGGAGUUUAGGGUUUGGGUUUAGGCGUUAUAGGGUUUAAGGGUUUGGUUAUAGGUUUAGCGGGUUUAGAGAGUUUAUAGGGUUUAGGGUUUUAGGGUUUAGGGUUUAGGGUUUAGGGUUUUAGGGUUUAGGUUUAGGGUUAGGGUUUAAGGUUAGGUUUGAGGUUUAGGGUUUAGGGUUUAGGUUUUAGGGUUGGCGUUUGAGGUUUUGCGGUUUGGUUAGGUUUAGGGUUUAGGUUUUAGGGAUUUAAGAGGUUAUUAGGGUUUAGGGUUUAGGGUUUAGGGUUUAGUGUUUUAGGUUUAGGGUUUAGGGUAUUUAGGGUUUAGGAGUUUAGGUUUAAGGGUUAGGGUUAGGGUUUUAGGUUUUAGGGUUAUAGGGUUUAGGUUAGGCUUUAGGGUUUAGGGUAUAGGUUAGAGAUUUUAGGGUUAGGGUUUAGGGUUUAGGGUUUUAGGGUAUUUAGGGUUUAGGGUUUGCGGUUUAGGGUUUAGGGAUUUAGGGUUUAGGGUUUAGGGUUU